rnacentral:rRNA from 1 species
ACGCUCGACACCUACGAGAGGCAGCAGUUGGGAAUAUUGGACAAUGGAGGAAACUCUGAUCCAGUGACGCCGCGUGAAGGAAGAAGGUCUUCGGAUUGUAAACUUAUUUUGUCAGGGAAGAAAAAUGACUGUACCUGAAGAAAAAGCACCGGCUAACUACGUGCCAACAGCCGCGGUAAUCUGAGCGGGCUGGCAAGGC